AGUGAACGCUGGCGGUAGGCCUAACACAUGCAAGUCGAACGGCAGCACAGUAAGAGCUUGCUCUUACGGGUGGCGAGUGGCGGACGGGUGAGGAAUACAUCGGAAUCUACUUUUUCGUGGGGGAUAACGUAGGGAAACUUACGCUAAUACCGCAUACGACCUACGGGUGAAAGCAGGGGAUCUUCGGACCUUGCGCGAUUGAAUGAGCCGAUGUCGGAUUAGCUAGUUGGCGGGGUAAAGGCCCACCAAGGCGACGAUCCGUAGCUGGUCUGAGAGGAUGAUCAGGCAACAUGGAAAUGAGACACGGUCCAGACUCCUAAGGGAGGCAGCAGUGGGGAAUAUUGGACAAUGGGGGGAAGCCUGAUCCAGGCAUACCGGGUGGGUGAAGAAGGCCUUCGGGUUGUAAAGCCCUUUUGUUGGGAAAGAAAAGCAGCAGGUUAAUACCCCGCUGUUCUGACGGUAGCCAAAGAAUAAGCACCGGCUAACUUCGUG
rnacentral:rRNA from 1 species